rnacentral:rRNA from 1 species
AUGAACCGUCUCUCCAGCCCCGGACCCGAUGACUUUGGUCCCUCUUUCUUUGUCUCGUUUUGGGACACUAUUGUUUCUGAUGUCGAGGGGGUCUUUCAUGACUUCUACGCUGGUACUCUCGAUCUCACCCGCAUAAACCGCACCUUCCUCGUCCUUCUUCCUAAGUUCGAGGCGGCUCGCUCGCCUUCGGACUUUCGUCCCAUCUCCCUGCAAACCUGCAUCAAGAAGGCCAUCACCAAAGCCCUGUGCUCCCGCUUGCAACGUUACAUUCACUCCCUGGUUGACCCUGACCAGACCGGUUUCCUUCCUGGCCGUCGUAUCUCCGAAAAUAUUGUCUACGCGGCUGACCUUCUACGCACUUGCCACACCCAGAAAGCUCCUACCGUGGUGUUCAAAAUUGAUUUCCGAAAGGCGUUAGACUCCGUCAACUGGUCCAGCCUUCUCACCGUCCUCUCGGCUCGGGGUUUUGACUCUAAGUGGUGUGAGUGGAUCCACGCCAUCCUGUCUACCGGCCACACCUCAGUUCUCCUCAAUAAUGUCCCUGGGGAUUGGAUCCUUUGUCGCAACGGCCUACGUCAGGGUGACGCGCUCUCCUCAUAUCUUUUUAUUAUCAUUGCCGAUGUCCUUCAAUGCCUCGUU